ACAUUCACAUGUCCUACUGCACUAUUGAAGGAUUCAGAGUCUUAGUCUCCAACUAUCUUGGACUAAAAGACCACAUUCUCUUUGAAGAAAUCGAUGGUUUGAUCCGAUGCGUAGAGGUCACCCCUGCAUCUCUAGCUGAAAAACUAAUGAAGAAUGAUGAUGCUGAUGUUGCUCUUGGAGAAGUACUUAAUUUCCUUAAGCAAAAGAGGUUGGAAAAAGAUAAAAAUGAAGAAGCAGAAGAAGAAAGUAUUGCUGAAUGAUAACUUUUAUCUUUUUCUUCUGGCAUGCUCAUGGUUAAUAAAUAAAGAACUACUUGAGCUUUGUCCUGCCAAAUGAUUAUUGGG
rnacentral:misc_RNA from 1 species